rnacentral:tRNA from 1 species
GCUUUGGCAGAAAGUCCGGUCAAGUAUAGGGGCCUCUCGAGCCCCAGACCCGGGUUCAAAUCCCGGCCGGAGCA